rnacentral:rRNA from 1 species
AAUGAACGUUGGCGGCGUGGAUUAGGCAUGCAAGUCGAGCGAGAAAUUUUAAAAAGAUACUUCGGUUGAUUUUUAAAAUGGACAGCGGCGAAAGGGAGAGUAACGAGUAGAUACGUACCCAGGGGUUCAGGAUAGCCAUGCGAAAGCGUGAGUAAUACUGAAUAAUGUCUCCGGACCAAAAAUUUAUUGCCCUUGGAGCGGUUUGCUUACUAUUAGCUUGUUGGUGGGGUAAAGGCCUACCAAGGCAAAGAUGGUUAGCGGGUGUGAGAGCAUGGCCCGUCUCACUGGGACUGAGAUACUGCCCAGACAUCUACGGAUGGCUGCAGUCGAGAAUCUUCCGCAAUGGGCGAAAGCCUGACGGAGCGACGCCGCGUGCUGGAUGAAGGCCCUCGGGUUGUAAACAGCUGUCGUAGGGGAGGAAAUUUUGACCGAUCCUAGGAGGAAGCACAGGCUAAGUUCG